AUCAAUCAAGUCCUCCUAAAACAAGUGAAAAUUCAGAUUCAGCAUCUGCCCAGUCACCUUCCAAUUCCAGUGGGGAUGCUCAUGUAUAUUUAAUUAUGCAGCGUACUCUUCAUUCAACCACCUGAUAUUUUUUAAAUUUUAUACCUUUUGUUACCUAUCAAAAAUUUUUUUUUAUACCUUUUGUUUUCAACGCUGGAAAUUUCCUGUCAAAUCUUGAUCUAUAAGCCUUUGAUUGGUAUAAUUGGGUAUUCACUUGUCAUGUUAUGAAGAUGUUCACCUCGGAUUCUUCUAUAAUUAUGAGUAUUACAUUGUGUGAUAAAUCAACCUUGUUUUGUUAUUGCAUCCCACGUUUGCUUAUCAUUUUGGUUGCAAUGAUGUCAAAAACCAUAUUUUUACCUUCCUGUUGAUGAUCUGAUGAAGAAAUUUAUCCAUGAACUGAAUUUUAUGCAAUCUUGUCGGUAUGCUUUUGUCUGGUGAAUUUUACAUAAAAUAAAAAUUUCUUAUUUGAUUUACCUAUUUGACAUUGAUUGAUAUUAGCUUGUCUAUACAUUAUAUUCAUUUUGUUUCUAUCUCACAUUUCUUUUUCAUUGCAAGGCC
rnacentral:lncRNA from 1 species